rnacentral:rRNA from 1 species
UACAUACUGUGCGAACGUUAUUCGGAAUCACUGGGCUUAAAGGGUGCGUAGGCGGCUUGUUAAGUAGGGUGUGAAAUCCCCCAGCUCAACUGGGGAACUGCGCUCUAAACUGGCGAGCUGGAGUGAGAUAGGGGUGCAUGGAACUUCCAGUGGAGCGGUGAAAUGUGUUGAUAUUGGAAGGAACGCCGGAGGCGAAAGCGAUGCACUGGAUCUCAACUGACGCUGAGGCACGAAAGCCAGGGGAGCGAACGGG